GGGGCAAGCGUUGUCCGGAUUUAUUGGGCGUAAAGAGCUCGUAGGCGGUCUGUUGCGUCUGCUGUGAAAACUCGGGGCUUAACCCCGAGCCUGCAGUGGAUACGGGCAGACUAGAGGUAGGUAGGGGAGAAUGGAAUUCCCGGUGUAGCGGUGAAAUGCGCAGAUAUCGGGAGGAACACCGGUGGCGAAGGCGGUUCUCUGGGCCUUACCUGACGCUGAGGAGCGAAAGCGUGGGGAGCGAACAGG
rnacentral:rRNA from 1 species